rnacentral:lncRNA from 1 species
UUUCAAUAGAAGAAACAAGUACAAACCAACAUUCUCAACAUCAAAAUUCUGUAUAAACUGAUUGCGUUACGAAGUAUCCGAUACAAAAUGAAUCAGUUCAUUUUUUAUUUGAGCAUUGUUAUCUUCAAUAUAUUCUUGGCUAACAGAGAAAUAAUGGCCCAAAGUAAUAAGGAUGAAGUAGAAGCAACUCCUCCAUGGGUAGUUAUCAUACGACCACCCCCUAUCAUUGUUAUUAUACCAGGUGCUGUUCUGACAGCUGCUGAUGACAAUAAAAGAUCAGAGGUCAAUGGUAAACGCUAAAUACCACUUCCCAUAUCUAACCAAAGAAGAAGAAAACAA